rnacentral:tRNA from 1 species
GAGGGUACAGCUCAGUGGCAGAGCGUGUGCUUAGCAUGCAUGAAGUCCAGGGUUCAAUCCCCAGUACCUCCA